AGAGUAAUGCUUGGGAACAUGCCUUGAGGUGGGGGACAACAGUUGGAAACGACUGCUAAUACCGCAUAAUGUCUACGGACCAAAGGGGGCUUCGGCUCUCGCCUUUAGAUUGGCCCAAGUGGGAUUAGCUAGUUGGUGAGGUAAUGGCUCACCAAGGCGACGAUCCCUAGCUGGUUUGAGAGGAUGAUCAGCCACACUGGGACUGAGACACGGCCCAGACUCCUACGGGAGGCAGCAGUGGGGAAUAUUGCACAAUGGGCGCAAGCCUGAUGCAGCCAUGCCGCGUGUGUGAAGAAGGCCUUCGGGUUGUAAAGCACUUUCAGUCAGGAGGAAAGGUUAGUAGUUAAUACCUGCUAGCUGUGACGUUACUGACAGAAGAAGCACCGGCUAACUCCGUGCCAGCAGCCGCGGUAAUACGGAGGGUGCGAGCGUUAAUCGGAAUUACUGGGCGUAAAGCGUACGCAGGCGGUUUGUUAAGCGAGUGUGAAAGCCCCGGGCUCAACCUGGGAACUGCAUUUCGAACUGGCAAACUAGAGUGUGAUAGAGGGUGGUAGAAUUUCAGG
rnacentral:rRNA from 1 species